AAGUCGAACGGUAACAGGAAGCAGCUUGCUGCUUUGCUGACGAGUGGCGGACGGGUGAGUAAUGUCUGGGAAACUGCCUGAUGGAGGGGGAUAACUACUGGAAACGGUGGCUAAUACCGCAUAACGUCGCAAGACCAAAGAGGGGGACCUUCGGGCCUCUUGCCAUCAGAUGUGCCCAGAUGGGAUUAGCUUGUUGGUGAGGUAACGGCUCACCAAGGCGACGAUCCCUAGCUGGUCUGAGAGGAUGACCAGCCACACUGGAACUGAGACACGGUCCAGACUCCUACGGGAGGCAGCAGUGGGGAAUAUUGCACAAUGGGCGCAAGCCUGAUGCAGCCAUGCCGCGUGUAUGAAGAAGGCCUUCGGGUUGUAAAGUACUUUCAGCGGGGAGGAAGGUGUUGUGGUUAAUAACCGCAU
rnacentral:rRNA from 1 species